CUUUCUCCUGUGAUCAUCGGCAUGAUAGGAGGCGAGUGAGGAACUCAGUGUCUUCUGACACAGGCAUCUCACAACACCAGUGCAGCCGGACCGUUGUCUGGAGAGGUGCCCGAUGAGCUCCCAGUCAUGUGGUUCAGGGCGGGCUCUGGAAGACUCACAGAGGAGACUCCUCCGAGAAACCAAGAAGGUUUCUGUCCAAGUCGGGAUCUGCUCUGCUCAGGAUGCUCCUCCAACACACACAGUGAAAAACUGAGCACCUAGAGAGCAACACCAAAAACCCAUGGCCAAUAAUGGAGAGCCAAAUCAGGAGAGCAUUCAGCAAAGCAAUUCUUGCUGUAGAAGGAACAGCACAAAAAGCUGGAAGGAAACUGAGGCAUGCGUGAAAGAUAACUUGUCAGUGUUUGCAGUCUACUGAGAUCCCCGCUGCAAGAAAAGGCAGGAUUUCCACUUGCUUCUUGGCCCGCCUCUGUUGUCCAGAAUCCAGGACAGGUGACAAGAGAAGCAGAUGUGAUCUGCACAAGCUGGCUCAGCUGGGUUGGGAGUUGCUCUUCCUGGACAGGCCGGGAAGGGUGCUGGAGGGGAGGGAGGAGGAGAGAGGUUUUAGGGGAGGGGUGCUGAGCAG
rnacentral:lncRNA from 10 species